AGCACAUCUGCUUCCAAAAUUUGCUGUGCCCUCUACAAAUGGAGCUUUUUAUGGCUUUCGACAAUGGUUUUUCCUUUUGCAUGAAGAUCAGAUUUUAUUUUAUGUUUUUUGCAUGGUAGUUUUCUAAAGUUAUGGGUCUCUGCAAUUCCUUCUGAGUUACUUUAAGGCUCUCUGUUGCCUCUAUUCAUAAUGUCCUUGUUACCAGGACUGUUAGAUUGAGUGGGUGAGAGCUGUCUUUUACUUCUACUUGAUUCAUGACUGAACCGUCCUCUUUGAGAUGUGCAGCGCAUGGGAAAACAUAACCUGAAACUCCUAUAAACUUCUUACUAGCUUCUUUCUUGA